AUUGAACGCUGGCGGCAUGCCUUACACAUGCAAGUCGAACGGCAGCACGGGUGCUUGCACCUGGUGGCGAGUGGCGAACGGGUGAGUAAUACAUCGGAACAUGUCCCGUAGUGGGGGAUAGCCCGGCGAAAGCCGGAUUAAUACCGCAUACGAUCUACGGAUGAAAGCGGGGGACCUUCGGGCCUCGCGCUAUAGGGUUGGCCGAUGGGGGAUUAGCUAGUUGGUGGGGUAAAGGCCUACCAAGGCGACGAUCAGUAGCUGGUCUGAGAGGACGACCAGCCACACUGGGACUGAGACACGGCCCAGACUCCUACGGGAGGCAGCAGUGGGGAAUUUUGGACAAUGGGCGAAAGCCUGAUCCAGCAAUGCCGCGUGUGUGAAGAAGGCCUUCGGGUUGUAAAGCACUUUUGUCCGGAAAGAAAUCCUUGGCUCUAAUACAGUCGGGGGAUGACGGUACCGGAAGAAUAAGCACCGGCUAACUACGUG
rnacentral:rRNA from 1 species